rnacentral:rRNA from 5 species
GACUCUCGGCAACGGAUAUCUCGGCUCAUGCAUCGAUGAAGAACGUAGCGAAAUGCGAUACUUGGUGUGAAUUGCAGAAUCCCGUGAACCAUCGAGUUUUUGAACGCAAGUUGCGCCCGAAGCCAUUCGGCCGAGGGCACGUCUGCCUGGGCGUCACGC